AUUGAACGCUGGCGGCAUGCCUUACACAUGCAAGUCGAACGGCAGCACGGGAGUAAUCCUGGUGGCGAGUGGCGAACGGGUGAGUAAUAUAUCGGAACGUGCCCAGUCGUGGGGGAUAACGUAGCGAAAGCUACGCUAAUACCGCAUACGAUCUAUGGAUGAAAGCGGGGGAUCGCAAGACCUCGCGCGAUUGGAGCGGCCGAUAUCAGAUUAGGUAGUUGGUGGGGUAAAGGCUCAUCAAGCCGACGAUCUGUAGCUGGUCUGAGAGGACGACCAGCCACACUGGGACUGAGACACGGCCCAGACUCCUACGGGAGGCAGCAGUGGGGAAUUUUGGACAAUGGGCGCAAGCCUGAUCCAGCAAUGCCGCGUGCAGGAUGAAGGCCUUCGGGUUGUAAACUGCUUUUGUACGGAGCGAAAAGGCUCUCUCUAAUACAGGGGGCUCAUGACGGUACCGUAAGAAUAAGCACCGGCUAACUACGUGCCAGCCGCCGCAGUAA
rnacentral:rRNA from 1 species